GAUUUCAGAAACAAAGUUGUCAACUAUGAGGAUGAUUUAAAAGGUCCAUUGCUUAUUCACUGCAGUGCUGGUGUUGGUCGAACUGGGACUUUUAUGGCCCUAGAUUUCCUCAUUAAGCAAGGUGAACGAGAAGGAUUUGUUGACGUCAUUAGUUGCGUAGCUUCAAUGCGCCAUCAAAGAGUCCACGUAGUGCAAACAGUGGAGCAGUAUGUGUUUCUCCAUGAUGCUUUGGUGGAAGGUUUGACGGAGGGAAACAGUAACGUUACAGCCGCAGAGUUCCCGGAAUAUUACAAACGUUUAAACCAUCUAAACCCUGCUACACAAAAAAGUGGAAUAUUGGAGCAAUUUCAGCUUAUCAACAAGUUAUCGACAACUGUUGAUGUCAAGCAGUUUGAAACAGCAAAACUGAAGGAAAACAGAAGUAAAAACCGAUACAGCAAUAUAUUGCCUGCUGAGAGUUACCGAAUUUUCAUCACUAGCGGUGACAGCAACUAUAUCAAUGCCAUACAAGCACCAGGAUACAAAAGCAGAAAUGCUUAUGCAAUUACCCAAAUGCCAUUGGCCAAUACCGUCCAGGAUUUUUGGUGCCUUGUUCUUGAGCAGGAUGUGUCCACCAUUGUUAUGAUGAACUCUUUCAAGAAAGACAAGACUGUCGGGAUUUAUUGGCCAGUCAAUACAAAGGAGGCCAGUUUUGGAGCAGUUGCAAUCACCCUAUUAGCAGCAGAAACUAGAAACAGCUCAUUUGAUGUUUUAGAAUUCAAGGUGGUAAAUAAUAAGUCAAAAGAGGAAAGGAUAGUGAAACAAUUUCAAUGUAAGUUCUGGUCUGAGGAUGCCGUUGUUCCAGAAUCACCAGAUCCUAUGCUGGAGAUGAUUGAGGAGGUCAAUGCCUGGCAACGUCAAGUUCAAAAUCCAACCAUCGUUGUACAUUGCAUGAAUGGUGCAAAGAAAAGUGGUUUGUAUUGCACAAUCGCCACCAUAAUUGAAAGACUUCGCGCAGAACAGGAAGUAAGUGUCCUGCAAACUGUAGUACAGAUGAGGUCACGGCGCCCCCAAUUCGUGGCCAGUAAAGAGCAGCUGAUGUUCUGUUAUGAUGCUGUCUGUGCCUACUUGAAUAUGUUCAAUACGUAUUCUAAUGUGAAUUGAGAUUUUCCACAGGAAACGCAAUAUAAAAAUCACCAGAGGAGAUAACAAAAACUGUUUUCAGAAAUUAUAAGUAACGAAAGCGUAUAAUUUUGACCUAUUUUUCUCCCCUUAGGUUUAUAAGUGGGAGGAAACGGGCUUGUUUAAAAAAGGAAAUAAAGUAUACUAGCUGAGUUUUGUUAGUACUUAGAGUAACGGAAAAUGAUUCUUAGUUUAUCUCUUCAGACUACGUGUUGUUCACCCCAGUAUUGUACCUAUCACCACCUCACUACCAUAAGUAAACAAAAACUCUUCGUCACUACUGUACAUACAUGUAUAUACAGUUUCAAUGUCAGAUUUGAUUUGACGCAAUAUAUAAGUUUUUAAAACGGUGAUUACAGUUGAGAAAUGAUAUAAAUUUAUAGUGUAAACCUUGGAACUUUCUGCAUGAAUCGGUCUAUGAAACAUACAAUAUAUUCAAUUGUAACUUGAAUUAAUAAGCAUUUUACAUUUUUGUCGUCCCAAAGUAUCAUUGUGAUGUAAUUAUGGAUAUCUCAUUUGAGUCUAUUGGUAACAUAUGUAUAGUGCAAUAUGACUUUUUUUCUGAAUGCACAUGAAACCCGAUUUUAUUUGAUUAUUAAUUUGCGUAUGCAUUAUGAAACUGGUUAUAUUAUUCAUAAGUGUGUAAAUGGUGAAUAAUAGAAUCAAGUGUACAUAGAUUGUCCUUACAACACUCGCAACAAAAAAUCCCUAUAUGGUACUUAAUUUUCUACAUAAUAUUAGUAUGUCAAUUUGAUCUAUUAACAAUGACUAUCAUUGAUCAUUCAUUUGUGGCAAUAACAUUGUAGUCGCGUUUUGAACAUUUUUAAAAGAAUUUUUUAAAGGUUUAUUUGUAGUUUCUUCAUGGUGAACCUAGCAAAUACUUGCUGUCAAAUACUAUCAAAUCGCUAUGACACGUUCAGACAAAAGAUAUCACAGCUUUGAGAAAUGAACUGCAUGGUGUGUUUUUACUUUUAUUUACUCAAUAGUUUUGUAUAUGAAAAUUGAUUUUUUUAAUAAGCAUUUGUUAAAAUGUAAAUAUGAUGUGCUUUAUUCACGUUGUCUAUCACGUCUUAUAUAAUUUUAUAAGUAGAUAAGUUUGAU
rnacentral:misc_RNA from 1 species